UUUGCUUCCUCUUCCCUCUCGGACAAAGCGAGGGCGGGGGUGACGUCAGCGGAGGGAGACUCUGGGAUUGGUGCGAAGGGCUAGAGGUUUCUUAAUGGUGGUUUGAAUCUGGCUGACUGGUUUCCAGUGCAACACUUCACGUGACUGGAGGGAGAUGUCAUCUGAGCCAUGAUUGUGUCUUCUUGCUAACACAGGUCCAUGUUGCUCCGUGAUAUAAAUGCCUGUCACUUGGA